GAUAGAUCUUGACCUAAUGAACAUUUUUACCCCAUGUCAGAUUUACUCUAAAUGCUUUCGUUUUUGAGAUAUAAGCCAAAAACUGCAUUUGACCCCUAUGUUCUAUUUUAAGUAACGGCGGCCAUGUUUUUUGACGGAUCAAAAAUCGAAGCACACACUAUGUGCAGGAUAAUCUAAGGAACAGUCAUGCUAAGUUUCAUCGAAAUCCAUUCAGUAGUUUCAGAGGAGAAGAUUUUUUAAAGUUAGCAAAUGUGAUGAACAAAUUGUGAAAAAUUGUCAUUAAAUGACAAUAACCCCUUAAGGGGUCAAUUGACAAUUUUGGUCAUAUAACUUAUUUGUAGAUCUUACUUUGCUGAUCAUUUUUGCUGUUUACAGUUUAUCUUUAUCUAUAAUAA
rnacentral:lncRNA from 1 species